rnacentral:rRNA from 1 species
CGGCGGACGGGUGAGUAACACGUGGGCAACCUGCCUGUAAGACUGGGAUAACUUCGGGAAACCGGAGCUAAUACCGGAUAAUCCUUUUCCUCUCAUGAGGAAAAGCUGAAAGACGGUUUACGCUGUCACUUACAGAUGGGCCCGCGGCGCAUUAGCUAGUUGGUGAGGUAACGGCUCACCAAGGCGACGAUGCGUAGCCGACCUGAGAGGGUGAUCGGCCACACUGGGACUGAGACACGGCCCAGACUCCUACGGGAGGCAGCAGUAGGGAAUCUUCCGCAAUGGACGAAAGUCUGACGGAGCAACGCCGCGUGAGUGAUGAAGGUUUUCGGAUCGUAAAACUCUGUUGUUAGGGAAGAACAAGUACAAGAGUAACUGCUUGUACCUUGACGGUACCUAACCAGAAAGCCACGGCUAACUACGUGCCAGCAGCCGCGGUAAUACGUAGGUGGCAAGCGUUGUCCGGAAUUAUUGGGCGUAAAGCGCGCGCAGGCGGUCCUUUAAGUCUGAUGUGAAAGCCCACGGCUCAACCGUGGAGGGUCAUUGGAAACUGGGGGACUUGAGUGCAGAAGAGAAGAGUGGAAUUCCACGUGUAGCGGUGAAAUGCGUAGAGAUGUGGAGGAACACCAGUGGCGAAGGCGACUCUUUGGUCUGUAACUGACGCUGAGCGCGAAAGCGUGGGGAGCAAACAGGAUUAGAUACCCCUGGUAGUCCACGCCGUAAACGAUGAGUGCUAAGUGUUAGAGGGUUUCCGCCCUUUAGUGUUGCAGCAAACGCAUUAAGCACUCCGCCUGGGGAGUACGGCCGCAAGGCUGAAACUCUAAGGAAAUGACGGGGGCCCGCC